rnacentral:misc_RNA from 1 species
UAUGGCUACCGCAAGAUGUGUAUUUUAUAAUUGGUUUUAGUGUUUUAGUUCAUUUAAUUUCUUUGUUUCAUUUUAAAAAUAUGAAUCAUUGGAAUCAAAGAAUGAUGUUUCCUAACAUGCCGGCAGGAAUUCCUCAGAAUGCUCAAAACCAACAGAACUUUUACAGACCUCCAACUUCGCAACAAUUUUAUCCAAACCCUUCUGGAGUCCAAUAUCAAGGCAAUUUUCAACCAAGAGGAUCCUUCGCACAAAAUAUAAACACCAUGCCUCAAAAUUAUCCUCCGGCAGUUGCAUCGCAGCCACAGACAACCAGGCCCAUGACGCAGGCUGAACUUGAAAGCUUAAAGAAAAAACGAAACUUUGAAGAGCAACAAAAAAGAUUAAUGGCUUUUAAGCACAAGGGAGGGGUUCAGUCUAAAAAAUCACAAGUUGAAAAUCCAUUAAAUGACUUGUUUGGAACAAAAGGAAACUCAGGUGGAAUGACAUCUUUACUGGGGUCCUUUGGAGAUGUUAAAAAUUCCAAGAGCAGCACUUUUCAAGGGCAACCUGGUUCACAAAACAUCCCUGGCCAGAUCACACCAAGCUACCACACCAACCCAAUGCAAAAUAUCCCAGGUCCAACACAGGCAAACAUUGUUUCAUCAAAUUGGAACACUUAUGGAAUAGCUAACACCCAUCCUACUGUGCCAAGCUCUCAACCUGCAGGAGAUUUUGAUCAGUUUCAAGGAUUUAGUUCUAAAACUGAUGACUUUGGGGAUUUUCAACAGAGUUCUUCAAUGCAGUUUCCAGGGGCACCUGGUCCGCAGCAGCCUGAGUUGCCAAAAAACUAUCAGUCAGAUCUAUUUGGUGCCAGUUCUAGUAAUCAGAGCAGUCACAGUAUUCCCCAAUCUAUUACAACCAUUGCACAGCACCCAGAAGUUAGCACAGACACUCCAUCGAAUGUAUUUGGUGUUAUGACUAGUGAUAAAACUAGUCAGCAACAUGCUAAUAUCCAAGAAACUAAAGUCGAGGUUCCUUCUGAAGAUGGUCAGCAAACAAGAAACAGAGUUGUUGUGCCAAGUACACCAAGUAUUGAAGACUUGAUGAAGAAAUCGCUUUCGUUGGACAGCCAGUCGCAGAGCUCUACCAAAAGAUUUGAAAAGCCAAAAAUCUCAAAAACAAUCAAAGUACAGCCGAGCCAUUUUACCGAAUCCACAAAGGCGAGUAAAUUUGAAAACUUGGAAUCGUUGUCCGAGAUUUUUACCAUCCCGGAGUCCGCUCUGGCGAAACCUGUAGAAAGGAGUGAACCCGUGACUCACAUAACUGGUGAUGAUUGGUCAGAUUUUAGCAGUGCAUCAAAAAAUGUUUUUCAAGCUCAGAAUCCGCCGACAGAGUUUGGACAAAAUAGUUCAGGCCAGGACUAUCUUUCUUCAACAGAGAUUCUUGGGCCCUCUGUAUCAGAACCUGCACCGUUCAGGUGGGAGGGUGGUAAUGAGGGUGGGCAAAGUACAUGGCAGGAACCAAAGCCCGAAAUGAGUAUUUUCUCGCAACCUUUCAACACAAUGCAAUCUGGCGGACUGUGGAACCCUCAAGUCCCGGUUGUAGCAAGCGGUAUGUUGGUCGCAAAUACACCUGCGUCACAGGGAAAUAUUCCGGUGGUUGGUCAAGGUGAAUUUGGAAACUUCCAGUCCGAGGCUCCAAGGAAUGAUCCAUUAUCUUCAACCGAACAUGAUCAAGGAAAUCGCGAAGAGUUUCCCGACAUUGAUCCAGAACAACAAAUCUAUGGGUUAUCCCUUCCUGAAUGGAGUAAAAACACCACCAUGUUGCCUGCAAUCUAUAAACAGAUCCACAAAAUGUGUUCCUCACCAGCUGGUGAUUUCAUUAGCACUAGCCAGUUAUAUCCAAUCCUGCUGUCAUCUGACCUACCACGUGAUAAACUUGGCCAUAUAUGGUCAAAAUGUAACAAAGCUGUCCCAGGAGAGUUGAACGAAAAAGAGCUAUACCUAAUUCUUGGCAUGAUUGCUCUAGCUCAGGUCGGUCUUCAAGUCAAUAAACUGACAUUAGAGAAACUGGCAUCCUGUGUUACAGCGCCCAUCCCUUCAUUCCCAGAAAAUAUUUUUCAGAAUGAGCCAACACCAGAUGUUUCUCUCCCAUCAACAUCCAACAUCGAUCCCCAACCUGAACUAACAAGCAUACCUGUCACCGAUCCAGAUACAACAACACCAGAUGACAUCUUCCAUCCUACCCCUCAUGUGGAUGCUGUGAAACACCCGGAUUGGUCAAAAUGGAAAACGACAAAAGCUGGUCAAAUUGAUGAUCAAUUUUCCGAUUUCCAAAUUUUGAAACCAAACGAUUCCUCCAAUAUCGCGCCCACGACAAAUCUGAACCUAAAUUGGUCGAGUAACACAGAAACAAGCGAUCAAUCGUUUGGUAGUUUUCAAAGUCUGUCUGGCACACUGCCGGUUGCAAAAAGUACUGAACUAACCAAUCAAGAACCGCCAAAUGCAGUGAAGUCUGAUAGUUUGGCCUUGUUUAGUCAAGGGAAAAAAUCAAACGAAGACAGGAACGAAGGUGAUAUAUUUGGUGAGAUGACUGGUGCUGAUGAGUCAAGCCAGCACGAUAAAUCUUUUGAUGAUAAACCCGUGUCAAGUUCGGCUCAUGUGAUGUCUGUACCUCUGCAAGCUUCACAACGCUACACACUGACAGGCGAGGACGAGAGUGUUGAUCAUCAUGAAAAAGCUUGGUUAAAAUGCCUUACAAGUUGUUUCACUGUCAUCAUGAAAUCUUGCCAAACUCUGCAAAAUAUCUCCGAUCCAAACGUUAUGAGCGAAAUUUUUUCUUCACAACAGGGAAUAUCACAUUUUUCUGCAAUUAUUGAAAUAUACUGUGUAUCUCAAAGAGUUAAGGCUUCAGUACUAAAAUCAGCACCUAAUAACAAGAAACUGAAAGAAAAUCUUCAGAAUAUCGAUAAUAUCUGGAAGACAUAUAUGAGCUUUGAGCAUUUCAAGAAACUUGUGUCUAUGGAGAAUUUCAACUUUUCUGGUUGCCAUAUCAACAAUGGUGAUGACGUGAAUAUGUCGUGCGGUGUUUGCUUAUUAAACGUGGAUAAAUCGUGCACAAGUUCAGCGCAAAAGAGCCAGCGUGGUAAAUUGAACUAUGGUAACAGACAAUAUCACACAACUUGUGCGAACUUCUGGUGUAAUAAAGUGGACUCCGUGUUGCCAUCGUUACAGUUUAAUGUCGCGAAUAGCUUAAUAUGAAACCCACGAGUGCAGGAUACAAUAGUAUGAAGAUUGUAUCGCGUGGGCACUGGGCACAAACACAGCUGGUCGGGCGUUUGACGUUUAGCGAGGGUUUAGAUUUAAUUCUACUACCGCUACCAUUGUGAGAGGAUGAACCAUUCAAACGUGAUAAGUAUAUCAGAUUAUCUGCUGAACCUCGCUUUUCAUUGCUUAAAGUGAUGAAUGUGAAUUCACAGUGUCAAGAACAUACAGUAAACCCAUUCAACACUCUUGCUGAACUGGCUUUCUCGCCAUUACUCUAGCCAGUAGAUUCCAUAAAAAUUGGGGAUAUGUUAGUUUUAUAGAAAAGAGACUUAAAGAUCUCGACAUUUUCUGAAGUAAAAACAGAUACGCAAUUGUUUAGCACACCGAAGCGUCCUGAGCACGAUGCUAGAAGGGAUACACAAUAUUUAUUACUGCUACAAAAGCAUACUUUAUCUGCGGGUUUGGAUUAGGGUUCUGGUUAAGAUUUGGAUUAGCAAGAACGCGGAAAUAUCUGUCUUUCGACUUUUCCUCCCUUCCCAUCAACCCAUCAAACUUCCCGCGUUUG